rnacentral:lncRNA from 1 species
AAUACAUCCAGGGCACCUGGUUCUGUGGGUGCAGAGGGCUGAGAGCAGAGAAGGGCCUUGGCGGGGGAUGCAGUGUGGGGGGGAUGGCCCAUGGCUGAGGAUAGGAUGAAUGAAGCAAGGAGGGUCAGGGCCAGGAAGGCUGGCCUUGGGCAAUAGUCCAGGAAAGGAGUGAUAAGAGCCUGAUAGGAGCUGAAGGGGAGAGGACAGAAAGCAGUGCUGGGAGAUGGGGGCCGAGGAGGCAGAUGAGACCAGACUCUUCAGCGGAUUGGCUGCAGGGUGGGGCCAAGGCUCCAAAUCCAGUGAUGGAGCCUCACCUGGUGUGGGUCGCUGUGGAUCUGAGCAUAGGAGGCCACAGGGGAUCAUAGCUGGCGUGUCCCAAAUGCCCCUGAGUGAUGACACAAGAAUGUUUACAUCCAGAAAUUCCUUGUCCGGCCCCUCUCCCAGGAAUGCGCUGGGACCUAAAUUCUUCUGUACAGAGGAAAAGUGCAGCCCUUGGAUGGCCUCUGCAGCAUUGUUCCUUGGCAAACACAGGAAGCUUGGGUUCUGUUCCCAGACGCGGAACCACACCACUCACCCAUCAGUAGCCAUGCUGUGGUGGUGGCUCAUGUGGAAGAACUAGAAGGACCUACAACUGGAAUAUACAACUAUGUACUGGGGCUUUGGGGUGGGGGCGAAGAGAGGAAGAUUAGCAACAGAUGUUAGCUCAGGGCAAAUCUUUCCCAGCAAAAAAAAAGAGUCAAUCUAGUAACAUCAAUUGAAAUUAUAUAAAAUGAACAAUUUUAUAUAUUAUAACUUGUAUAAAUUAUGUAUGUAAGUAUAUUUUGAUACCAAUCCAUUCUUUAUCAUCUAUCUUCAAAUAUCUGUAUAAGGUAAUGAUAAUUAUUGCAGCUUUGUCCUUAGCAUACAAAAAUUGGAAUUGAAGUGAGUAUCUAUCAUAGGCGAAUGGCUGAAUAAGUUAUGAUGCAGCCAUAUCUGGGAAUGUUAUGCAGCCAUUAAAAAUAAUGAAAUAGAGAUAUGCCAGUGAUAAAUUUUCAUUAGAUAUUGAUGAAGAAGAAAAGCAGGAUGAAGAAAAGCAUACACAGUAUUUAGGUAUAACAAUGAUUUAAAAACCUUUGUGUGUAUAUGUAUAUUUUGUUAGUUUGGAUCCUCCAAGAAUCAGUCACCAAAAUGGGACUUGACUUGCAAGAGGUUUUUUGGGGAAAACUGUGCGUGAAAAACGAGGAGUUUGCUGGAGGAGGCUGGGAGAGCGUCAGGUCCAGAACCGCAGUGCAUUUCUCCGAAAGUUGAGUCGAAGUCCCAGGCUCGUGGAGUCCUGUGUCCUGGGAACAGGCCUUCCUUAGUGUCCCUGCCCUGCUCAGUGGUUGGCGAGGCAAGCCUGGUCUCAGUGCAAACACUGCAGUCAGAUGUCCGAGGGGUGCCUUCUCAUGCUGCCACGUAUUCACACACAUGGAUGUGCUUGUGUGUGUGU